CCUCCUAGUCCGCGCACACUCGGUGUGGUGCGGUCCGAUGUGGAACUCGAAGCGAUGUGGAAGGAGGCGGCGUGUGGCGCGGGGGCUUGGGGAGACUUUUAGUGCUCGCGUGUAGUAGGCGCGGCCGGUGGCGAGCGUAAGAAUGUUGUCGGUACCGGUGCCGUCGGAGCGGCGGCCGCCGUCGGAGGCGAGCCCGCAGCCGCUAGGCGAGGGCGCGACCGGCGGAGAGGGAGGGGCGCCGGGAGGGCCGCCUGCCGGCACCACUGUGACGGUGGUGGAUGUUCCUCGAGCCGAACAUGAGGACCUUUUCCUCCUAGCUUCUACGCCAAUAGGCCCACCUCAACAGACGUAGGUUACGUGACCUCUCCCUCCUUCGUGCCUCUUAGCUCGUACUUCUUCAUGACGUUUCGGUAUUGAACACCCUGUUAGGCCGGUUCAGUGUGCUCUGCGAGAGACGGGACAGACUACGGUAGUCUCGCCAACUAGUAGAGUUUCUGGAAGAUAUAUUCCACGAACGAAUAUCUACGUAUUACGACUUCUCCGAUUCGACUAUUCAGUUGAUCGUCCGUACCUACAGUAUUUGCCUCUCGAUAAAUUCGUUCGUAUACUAUAGAGAAACCUACGAUCACUCAAAGAUCUAGCAAUGGUCUACAUGCUCGAAGAAUUCCCAGGUAUACUGUUCCUUCCUCGAACAUAGUACCAGUGACGACCUAGUCUCCCACAGCGAAGUCUCGAUACCCGUCUCUUCGAUAAACUGUACAUAUGUUCAACCCGUGUUUCCGUUCCAACGUUUCUUCCUGACCAUCUCUUCUAGCGUAGUUGUUCACCAGUAUGGGUCAAACGUCGUUACCUCUAACUUAGUCUCAUGUACAAACCAUGGGAAAGACCUCUUUUUCCUUACGUGUCUUACUAGAUGAGAAGGCAACUUUUAAGACCGUGACCGUUCGAAGGUCCGCUAAAGUCGAUCUCAGCUAUAUUAAGGAGAGAAGAACCUAUCUGGCCAAUUAAAAGUGAACCUACUGUUACUAGACCUCUAAAGAGGCAAUGGGUCACUUAAAUUUUUAGCUCUGGCUUCUUUACCACGGUGACACUCUCAAGUCGUGUAUGGUUCGCCUCAAUGACGGCUUUCGAGUCCACUUUCUUCGAUAAAGCGUUUGUUCGAUUUUCGGCACUCGUCCGACUUUCGUUUCGAGGAGUAGUAUUGUUCUCUUGAUUCUCAUGGUUUGGGCUUCUACUAGCUCUUUGUUCGACACCUCCUUUCUACGUUGGCGCUCUGCUCUGCUAUGUACAAGCCCGGGGUCCUUAAGCAGGUACUAGAAUUGUGCCCGUAGGUCAACAGGCUGGAGUUGAGCCAGGACCUUCCGCUGUAGCUUGGCAAGUAGUCCCCAGCAUAACAAAGUUCUGUACCUACUGCUAUGCGUUCUUAAGCACACGUCAAGACAUUUAGGUAAAAACGACUAUGUCUAUAUCGAGUAAUGGCCUCUUAUUGAAGACAUUGUACCCAGUGUAAAGUUCGGUUUUUCCAUUUAUAUGGUCCAUAUCCUUUCUCGAAUGAGGUUCGGAGGCUGAGUACACGGCCUACGUCUACGAGAAAGGGACAGUUCGAACGCUCGCACCCGCGCGUGCCGCGCGGUUACGAGCAGCUUCCGGCGGCCCACGAACAGGACGUCGGGGGAGACGGCCAAGUCGCGCUGCGGCUCGCGGUAGUACCGCACCAGGACCGUCAGCUAGAAGCGGCCGCGCUCGUCCACGACCCCCUACACCGGUAUCACGACCGACGGCAGCCGGAGAUACAUGCCGUCCUUGCCGACACGCAUCUCCUGCCGGGGCUCGGUCAUGAGCCUGUCCGAGGAGGUCAAGAAGUGGACGAGCUGGUACACGCGGCCGUCGUGGGGAGCGGCCCGUCGCAACGUGUAGUACACCGACU
rnacentral:rRNA from 1 species